GCAGGGCCGUCGUGCGCGCGCACCCGUGAGGCGGGCGCCUGCCGGAGCUCAGUGGGCGGCCGAGACGUCAGCUGGGGAGGAAAGAGUGACGCUGAGGAUGGGUGGAGGCAGGCAGGCGGCAUGAAGAGUACGAUCAAGUAAAGAACUUCCACGGAAUCGAGGCAGUGGCACAGCUGAAGGAUGGGCCUUAAAGUGCAAUAUUUAGUGAGUGUGCUCUUGUCAUCUGCACAGCUGCUGCUCACCUUCCCGCUGACAGAGAAGAACCACUUGUCCAUCCGGCGUGGCAAAGAGUGCAAGAUGUGCCCUGCAGGUGAGUUCCAGAAGUCUUGUGAGCAGUGCGCGCCGUGUCCCGCUAAGAGCUACACCACUGACUGGAACCGCGAGGAGAGCUGCCAUCGUUGCUACGGCGAUUGCAGGCCUGAAUUCAAUCAGAAAGUGAUCGAGGACUGCAGCAGCACAUCUAACCUCAAGUGCACAUGCCAAGAUGGCUUCCGCUGUACCGCUGUGGUUGCAUAUACCGGCAACUGCAAAAACUGUGUCGCAACCACAACCGUAACAGCAGCGGCAGCAACAACAGCAGAUGAAGAUGAACAGACUCCUUCCUCUUCUUCCUCAGGAUCCCGCAGCAACUCUGCCAGGUUGUGCUCUUUUCCCGAAUGUGAGACCAAGCCUGGAAACAGCUCACACGCUAACAAAGGGCCUCAGCUGGUGGCCGUCGUGUUCCCAAUGGUCGUCGUGGUAACUGUGGCCCUCACUGUCUGGCUCUGCAGCUGUCGGCGCGGAGAGGAAACUUGCUUGAAGCGGGCUGUGGUGAAGUUAUGCAAUAAGGGGGUUCCCAAUGUUACAGCUAAGGAGAAAGAGCCCAAUCAGCAUUUCUUGACUGACCCUUGCGGUGCUGUGCAUGUCCACAAUGCGGGGACGGUCAUCUUCAGCUGGCUCAGUCAGUUUACCGGCCAAGUGGGUCCCGUCACGGAAACCAAGAUGGCAACAAAAGACGAGGAGGAGGAGGCCGAAGACGGCGACCAAGCCCCUCCUCCUUCGUUCUCCCCCAGUGUUCCCCUGUCUGAGGAGGAGAUGAGCGGAGAGGCGGUCUUGUUCCCUUCUCAGGAGGAAGGCAAAGACUGGCACGUGUCCAAAGAGGAAGCAGAAGCCUGAAGAUGAGGGCUGGAGACCACCUCACCAGUGCGGGAGAUUUCAUUUGCUUAACAACCUUCAAGAAGAAGGACUGUCUGGUAGGAAUGCAUGGAGGAAAGAUGUGUCGGGGUACCUGUGGCGCUGGACUUGACUGCUCCUGGUAUGUGCAAACACUGUGCGCACGCCUCAUCUGUGCAUUUGUAGCCCGCUUUACAUCUGCACACAGCGUUUCGAGAGGUUUGGCACUUGGACUCGUACUCCAUAUUGGCUGAAGGUGAGAAGCCAUCAUUAAGAUUAGUUGUCAUUUAGGUUGAUUAUUAUAGUAGUACAGUGCUGCAACGCCUUAGAAUGGAGUAUACUUAACUUGCUUUCUAGUGUGUCUUACAGGUUUGCUUCUACCAAUAUUAUGACUUAGGUGUUACAGAAAGAUGAUGAAAAGUGAACACACCCAAAGCUUCUUCAUCCUGGUGGUCUUUUGGAGAUGUGCAGUGUUGUUUUUGCACCCAUUGCGGCCAAAAUCAACCUUGGUUUCAUCAAAGCAUGAAAAACGUUCCUACAUGCUAUUAGGAGAUGUGAUGAAUUAUUUCUCCAAAUUCAAAGGCUGCUAUGUUGUUGGCGUUUGAUCUUUUGGAAUAAGUUUAGCAAAAAAAAAAAAAAAGACAUGGAAAAAGCAAAACACACACACUGGAUGAGUCCUUUGAAUCUUCAUCCAUUCAUAUUCUAUAGCGCUUGUCCUCAUUAGGGUCAUGGGUGGGUUUGAGCUCCUGCCAGUUGACUUUGAGCGAGAGGUGGGGUACACCCUGGAUUAGUGGCCAGCCAAUCUCGAGGCACAUAUACAGUAGACAAACAACCGUUCACUCUCACAUUCACACCCAUGGACAAUUUAGAGCUUUGGUGAAACACUGGGACCUCCAUUUUCAAAUUGUUGUUAAGUCGCGACCCACUCUAAUAGAUGUUAAGAACAAUAAUGUGUUGUUCAAAAAUAGCCUUUAAAAACAGACUUGACCAUAUUUAAACUACGCACGGUGGACGACUGGUUAGCAUAUCUGCCUCACAGUUCUGAGGACCGGGGUUCAAUCCCCGGCCCCGCCUGUGUGGCGUUUGCAUGUUCUCCCCGUUUCUGUGUGGGUUUUCUCCGGGCACUCCGGUUUCCUCCCACAUCCCAAAAACAUGCAUGGUGGGUUGAUUGAAGACUCUAAAUUGCCCGUAGGUGUGAAUGUGUGCGCGAAUGGUUGUUUGUUUUUAUGUGCCCUGCCAUUGGCUGGCGACCAGUUCAGGGUGUACACCGCCUCUCGCCCCGAGAUAGCUGGGAUUGGCUCCAGCACGCCCGCGACCCUAGUGAGGAGAAGCGAUACAGAAAAUGGAUGGAUGGAUGAACUACACGUUCAUUUGUUGGCUGUGACUAUAAAGCAAUCCAAUGAAAAACUUUAAAUACAGUGCUAACUGAGCGGGCCUUCUCAUACUGCGUAAAAACGUAUUCUUACACUAUCCGUAACCUCAAAAUGUCGUAUGCCAGUACUGUUGCAAACUGAGGACCUCCUGUAAUUCUGACGACCUAUCCACGACCCACCCAGAAUGGCUCCACGACCCACUUUUGGGUCCCGAUCGAACAGUUGUGCAUCACUGAGUUAGAGUCUUCAAUGAAGCUAGAAUGCAUGUUUCUGGAAUGUGGGAGGAAAUGAAGUACCCAGAGAAAACCCAUCCAAACACAGUGAGAACAUGCAAACUCCACUCUAAAAGGCCGAGCUGAGAUUCUAACCAGGAAACACGAACCACUAGAUCACCGUGCCAGCUACAAUACUACAAUCUGCUGCAAGUUCCAACGUACUGCCAGAUUCGUAUGGAAAGACAUUGAAUCCCACGACAGCUUUCAACACGACACACUCUUCUGAUUCGAGACUUGAAACAAUUCAACUUAUAGACAACCAAAUAAACGGAAUGUUCACUCACGUUUGUCACACAUUCUGCAAACAUCGCAGGUCAUCUCCACGUUGGAGGAGUCAGCAUAGCGGUCACCUGUGCAAAGUCCACACUCCAUCUCACAAUCGGUUGGCGAGCGCCAGAUCAUGUGUUUACCUGCGACACACGAAGCGUUUGAUACGAUAGCGACUGUACACUGCACCAACGCCACUGUACCCACGUAGAGCCCGUCGAGGCCGCUUUACCUGGCGGGCACUUGUCACAGCAACUGUGCGGAGCCUUUAGAGGCCACGCAUAUUGUGUAACCUUGCACUGCAUUGACAGCACGGAGGAAGGCACAAACCACAUGCUGCAAAGAGACGUUAAAAGAACAUAUGUGUGCAUCUGCGGGGAAAACAGGAGUAGGUUAGCUUGUCGAUACCAUUUUGCAUUGUUUGUUAGCAUUAAGCUAAACUAACGUUGUUAAGGCAAGGCUAUGUGGUUGUUUUUAUAUUCUUUUUUGAAGAAUGGCUCUCUAUCUGCCAAACUGCUGCUUGUUGUGAAGUGAGUUCAGUUCACUGGUUCCUGUCUGUCUCUCUCUCUCUCUCUCUCUAUCUAUCUAUCUAUCUAUCUAUCUAUCUAUCUAUCUAUCUCUACCUAACACCAACUGGUUGAGGCAGACAGAGACACCCCACACUGAGUCUCGGGUUUGUACGAGGUUUCUUCCUUAAAGGAAGUUUUUUUCCCCCCUUGCCUAAGUCGCCUUGGGCUUACUCUUGUGGGGUUCAGUUGGUUUCUUAAUAUAUGAACAGCGAGGUUCCAGACCUGUUAAAUUCCUUGCGAUAACCUCUGGUGUGAAUGGAUCUAUAAAAUAAAAAUUUAAUGGAAUACUGUACAUGAUGCAUUGUUUUUCCCUGAGUUGCUCAACAUAGCACAAGUAUUCUGCAAGAUUAACAGGAGUCAUAAUACACAGAAACUAGCCAACACUAUCAUCAUAUUUUCACACAUGGUAAAACCUAUGAAUUUAUCAUAUUUACUAAAGAUUUAACUAACAGUGUCAUACUCACCGUGGAUGAGGGGAGACGAUGAAUGCAGCCUGAGACCCCCGUCAAAAACUGCCCAAAUGAACAGGGGCCCAGAAGUGUGUCACUUUGAGUGACUUUAAAUGUCACGGCUGACUCAUUGCGAAAGCCCGGCAUUAGGCUGCUGUCUUUCAAAUCUCAAGGCAGCGACCCCCUUCCUCUCUGCAACGACCUUCACGGCCAUCUCUCUCCAUUUGUCCAAACGUGUUCCUCCUCCAGGAAGUUACUUAUUCUGAUUGAUGGUUGCAGACAGGUUUAAAAAUACAGAACUCAGCCAUGCUUGUAACUCCAAUAGGUGUUACACACUCUUCGACAUGUGAACAAAAACUGUUAGUACUGUCCUGAAAGGUCACUGAAAUAACUGACAAGACUGGAAUGUGUUGAAAAAAAUGAAUGAGAAACCCCUACUGUGAACUGCGAAGGGGGGCUCAUUCGUGUUCAGGGGCUGCUUUUUUAAAAAAUCUGGCACUGGGUGUCUUGAAUCCGUGCAGGGUACAUUGUAAUCUCAAGACUAUCAACGCGUUUUACAGCGAAAUGCGCUGCCCACUGUCAGAAAGCUUGGCCAGGUGUCCUCCAAUAGCACAAUAACGCAAAACACAGACUACACAGAACACCCGAGAAUCACUAAGAAGAAUGAAGAUGAAUUUGUUUAGAAAUCACUUUUGUCCGUUUCAAUUUAUUUCAUAGGGAAGCACAUGUCCGCCAGUUAAAAAAAAAAAAAAAAAAAGUAAAAAUAAAAGAACUUCUCUGUGCGUCUUUUCAUUGUCUUUCGGUUGAUGACAGGUUUUAUUUUAAAGUCCAAAAGUGACCAGAACACACAGCUUUAUUGACUUAGGUCAGCAAAUAGAGCUCAGAGUCCAAAAAUGACCACAAUGAAGCAACGUUUAGCUGUGGGGGUGAAAACAACUGGAAUACAUUGCCUAGUGAGCUUUUCACCUCUGCCAAGCGGUUAUGUUUUCUUUUAUUGUUUGUUACCUCUACUGACCACCAACUACAGUGCUUAAGUGUACAUGCUAUUUUUGGGUCAUUUAGUUUGUGUACCGUUGAAAAUGUCUUAGGCUACCUAUGGAAGUGUUGUUUUAACAAUGCUAUAAUGACCAUUUCUUACUAGAAUGCCCCUCAGUAAAGCACAGACCUCCACCGAGGCUGAAUGGUUAACAUAAGUGUGUCAUACUGGUUUGUCUGACAGCAGUUUACUUUCCAAAUGUAAUUAGUUCUUCCUUGGGCCAUACCUCACCAUAGAGUGAAAUUGUUUUUUGAGGUUACCCAGACAUCUGCAGCUGCCCUUAUCCGUUUGGGAGUCCGGUCUUGGCAGAGGUCUGCACUCUACGGAGAGCUAUUCCACAUGUAAUUUGCUUUCAAAGUUAGCAUUCAUUUCAUUGUAAGGCCCAAUUUGUGAUGUAGCUCUUGUACUGCUCUUGCACACUCACAUUGGAGCUGCUGUCGACCACAGCUCAGGCCCAGACUCUCACAGUGUCACGACUUCAUGUGUCACCCCACCGGGACCCGGCUCUUAAAGGAACAUGCAUGUAGACAGACACUAAAAUACAUACAAUAUUUUAGAAACGUUUUAUGCUUGCAAUUUCUAUGUGUUCAAAUGUUUCGAAUGUUUUUUUUUUUUUAAAAAGGUGUGCUUAAAAAGUCUGUUUUAAUAAGUUUCAAUGUGUUUAAAAGUAUGUGAGAGGGGUAAAACUAUAUUAAAAUGUUUUUUUUUUCAUGUGGUCUUUCUACUGUAUAGCGCGUAUUUUGAUGUAUUGCGUAUUCCUCUGCGAGAAAAAGGGUUUCUGUGAUAGAGUGAUGGUUUCAUUUGAUGAUAAAGCGAAACUGCAUACAUCAUAAGUUGUAAGAGCAUGUGCGGGUGCUAAGAGAUAAUCAUCUCGGCAUUAUUUGGCCAGCAUAACUUCAUUGGUUGUGAUAUGAGUGUCUGGGUGAAAAAAAACAAAAACCAAAAGAGACAUUUUGUGUGUUUGUUAGUCAUUGUUACUUACUUGUGCCGGCUGCUCGACAGCACAGCAGCCCUUACUUGAGCUUGUUUCCACAAAAAGUGAGGCCCCUGCACGUGAAAAUCGAAACAGGAAGUGCCAGACAGAGAGCUGACAUGAUGACUCAACACAAUGAUUGUGCACUAACUUGACUGUGCUUGCUGCCAGGGUGUCACAUGCAAAGCUUGACUUACAAGGAUACCUCUGAGCAGAAGCUGAGAGGACUACAGGGUGGGAACGUGUUGACUUCUCAAUGGUCGUGAACCAAACUUAUGACUUAGUGGAUUCUCGACAAGUGCGUGCAUGUACGGUAAACAUGCAGUGAGGAGAAAACGCUUACACCUUGAAGGAACUUUGUGGUGAUCCGGUGUCACAACAAUGCUCAGUUUUGAUUGAAAAUGUAAAGAGAGGUAUUAUUCAUCAAUGUUUUCUAGUCUUGUGGGAGAAAAUGGAUGGAUGAAUGGUUAAUCAGUACUGAAAGGCACUCUGUAGCAUUUUUAUUUUGGUAUUUCAUUUGAGUAUUUUAUUAUGGACCUAACUAAAUGGAUUUUUUUUAAAUUAUUGUUUAAUUAAAAUUCAAUUAUCAAAUAAAUGCGUAUUUACACUG